rnacentral:tRNA from 1 species
GAUCUCGUAGCUCAGUCGGUAGAGCACAUGGCUGUAGACCAUGGGGUCGCUGGUUCGAGUCCAGCCGAGAUCG